UACGUAGGGUGCAAGCGUUGUCCGGAAUUAUUGGGCGUAAAGAGCUUGUAGGCGGUUUUGUCGCGUCUGCUGUGAAAUUUCGGGGGCUCAACCCCGAACUUGCAGUGGGGUACGGGCAGACUAGAGUGUGGUAGGGGAGACUGGAAUUCCUGGUGUAGCGGUGAAAUGCGCAGAUAUCAGGAGGAACACCUAUGGCGAAGGCAGCUCGCUGGGACGUUACUGACGCUGAGACGCGAAAGCGUGGGGAGCAAACAGG
rnacentral:rRNA from 1 species